GAUCGAAGCUGACCGAGACAUCGUAAUACAACGGAACACAAUUCUGUCGUGGGUUAAUACAAUCGAUGCAAUUCGCACGAAAGCAGCGAAACAUCCUAACUGUCACGCAGCUAAAAAAGAUGCUGAUAUCUUAGCCGAACAAGUUGGCGCGUAUAUCGGGAUAAAACCUAAAAAGGUAGAAGAGGAAGAUGUAACAAUAAUCACAGAAGAAGAUAAGCAAAAGAAAGCAAUUGAAAAAAACGAAAUAAC